rnacentral:lncRNA from 1 species
CAUCAACUACUUAGUAAAUUACAGGUGCAAGAAAACAUGUUUGUGCCAGAUUUCAAAAUAUCAAUGUUUUCUUCUAUAUCGGCAUUAAAAUGGACAAUGAAUCAGCUGGGAUUAUGGGAAAAAAUCAAUGUAUGCAGAUUGCCAUUUAUAUGACCUAUCUGUUUUUAGCAGAUGUUAAAAAGGUGACUUGCAAAUUCUAAAUACUACAACAAAAGCAUUGCAACCCUAGGGCUACUGUAACAUGAGAAGUGCUGCAAGGUUCCAGAACUGAUUAGUAAAGUACCAAAUAUGAGCUACUACAAAGUUGUACAUGAGACAUUGUGAGACCACAGAAAGAGAACUGAGAGGGGUUAACAGUAAGUGUUUUAAAAGUAAACAGUGAGUCAAGUGCUCACGAAAGGAUCUUUAGAUGUUUCCUGGUAGAUAGAUUCAGCUGUUCUAAUGGAUGCUUUUACUGCUGGUAGAACUGCCCAACUGUACAAACUAAUAAAACAUAUCUGCAAUAAAUUAACUAUUCUAUAAAAUACUAUAGUUGGUAGUAAGUCUACACUGUAAGGGUCUUAUGUUUCAAAACUCUCCAUAUAUAGACUCUGUACAUGUGUAUACAAGUUGAAAAGACAAACUUUUCUUAAUUUUGGCCAUCAAUGUUGUUUUGCAGUGAGGCUGGAGUCCUGAGCCCUUCUGUUGGGAGACAUCGCUCGUGCUGGAGGGAGGAGCCUAAUGCCUCAGAAAUGUGAAACUAUCAGUUACUGCAACCCCACCCCUUACCGGGAACCACGGUUACGAGCCUCCAAUCCACCAUCAGUCUGGAGGUUUACCACCAUCAAGCCAUACCCCAAACCACAAGAUAAAGAGAUGCAUCGGGAAUCUGUGCACGAUGGAACAAGAGGCCUCCAUGCCAACCAGCAGGGAGUGCUCAAGAAAGAGUGGGGCAUUCGCCAGGAGUGUGGGCUCAUGGGCUCAUCUGGCAACGGUACAGCCAACCGGUGUCCCCUCAGUGUCAUCUCCACCAACACCCUCCGAUGUAGCAGUGGGAGUAAUGUACAAACUAGAGUUAGUGCGGCUCGCAAGAGCAGAGCAUCCUCUGUCACAACAUUUACCAGUUCUUUAGUUCUGCUCUCACCUUCGACUGGUUUGGAGAAUGAAGGCUCAUUUAGGAUCUACCAAGGAGAAGAUGCAGAGGGGUUUUUGGAUAUAUGGGCUGUCAUUAAACGUGGAAACACAAAAGAGAAAAUCGCCAUUUUUGCAUCUCAGAAGUGUGGAAGUACUUGCAGUAGUGUUAUUGACAACACCUCAGAAAAAGAAGCCAUUGCCCCAGAGCUGUGGACUGUCUCUGUGAAAAACAAAGGAUGCUGGGAUGGUGACUGGUCUGUGGCUAAGCGCAGGAGAAGGUCUGGAAACCCAGACAAGUCAAAAAGUAUGGAAUCUUCUCCAAAAACUGAAAUACCUAAAGUAUCUCAACAAGAGACCCUCAAUGAGAACGCAAGUCCUUGCAAAGGAGUUGCUGAGGAUGCAGUCAAGACAGAGAGAGAAGAUAGAAAAGUCGAGGAUGCAGUCAAGACAGAGAGAGAAGAUGAAAAGUACGCUUUCUGUGGUGGAGGAUGGUGGCAUACUUAGGAGCAAAGAGCCAGCGACCAACAGGUGAGCUCUAAAGUCCCAUUCUUACGCAGCACCAGCACCAUCACUCUGUCUAAAGUUGGAACCAUCCCUCAGCCUGCAGAGCAGCAGUCCAAGGUUGCAGAAAAGCUGGAGGUCCAGGAGGAGGAAGGCG